GCUUACACAUGCAGUCGAGCGGAACGAGAAUAGCUUGCUAUUCGGCGUCGAGCGGCGGACGGGUGAGUAAUGCUUGGGAAUAUGCCUUUUGGUGGGGGACAACAGUUGGAAACGACUGCUAAUACCGCAUAAUGUUUACGGACCAAAGCGGGGGAUUCUUCGGAACCUCGUGCCAAAAGAUUAGCCCAAGUGAGAUUAGCUAGUUGGUGGGGUAAUGGCCUACCAAGGCGACGAUCUCUAGCUGGUUUGAGAGGAUGAUCAGCCACACUGGGACUGAGACACGGCCCAGACUCCUACGGGAGGCAGCAGUGGGGAAUAUUGCACAAUGGGGGAAACCCUGAUGCAGCCAUGCCGCGUGUGUGAAGAAGGCCUUCGGGUUGUAAAGCACUUUCAGUCGUGAGGAAAGGGUGUAAGUUAAUACCUUGCAUCUGUGACGUUAGCGACAGAAGAAGCACCGGCUAACUCCGUGCCAGCAGCCGCGGUAAUACGGAGGGUGCGAGCGUUAAUCGGAAUUACUGGGCGUAAAGCGCAUGCAGGUGGUUUGUUAAGUCAGAUGUGAAAGCCCGGGGCUCAACCUCGGAACUGCAUUUGAAACUGGCAAACUAGAGUACUGUAGAGGGGGGUAGAAUUUCAGGUGUAGCGGUGAAAUGCGUAGAGAUCUGAAGGAAUACCAGUGGCGAAGGCGGCCCCCUGGACAGAUACUGACACUCAGAUGCGAAAGCGUGGGGAGCAAACAGGAUUAGAUACCCUGGUAGUCCACGCCGUAAACGAUGUCUACUUGGAGGUUGUGGCCCUUGAGCCGUGGCUUUCGGAGCUAACGCGUUAAGUAGACCGCCUGGGGAGUACGGUCGCAGAUUAAAACUCAAAUGAAUUGACGGGGCCCGCACAAGCGGUGGAGCAUGUGGUUUAAUUCGAAGCAACGCGCAGAACCUUACACCUGACAUCUCGGACGCAGAGAGAUCUGCUUUCACUCGGUGACGAUGACAGUGCUGCAUGCCUGUCGUCAGCUCGUGUCUGAAUGGUCCGUUAGUUCAGCACGAGCGCACCACUCUAGUUGGCAGCAGUCGCUGGCACUCUAGGAACU
rnacentral:rRNA from 1 species